CCGUUUGGCCGAUGGUUUGGCUUCGAUUUGGCCAUAAGCGAACUCAGCAUCGAAAAAGGAGCCAGGGGGAGAAAAUUUACCUCGAUCGGCAGUUGGAAACUUCCCCGGUGCGGCGGCGGGUGGCGGUGGCCGGCUCCUCUGGCGUCUGGUUCUUCUUCUCCGGUGAGGCACUGGCGACUAGGGUUUUUGUUGUCAGGUGUGGGUGGGGUUAUUUAUACCCUUUGCCUUUUAAUCUCAACUGUCCAUCAAGAUUAAAUCUGGAUCGUUCGAUCGCGAUUUAAUUAGGAUUAAAUCUGGGCCGUCCGUGCCUGAUUGAAUCUGGGCCGUCCGUGCGCACAUUUUAUUUGGGCCAUCCGCGUGCGCGAGAACGGAUCUGGGCCGUCCGAUCGGGCGCACGCGGAUCGUCCACGUGGCCCGUCCCCUGGUCAGCGUUUCCUUGCCACGCGGCGUGUCCUGGUUGGCCGGGGCUGCUGACCGGGCUGCUGAUGUGGCUGCUGAUGUGGGUGCUGACGUGGCACAACUUUUCUAAAUUGCAUUUUAACCCCUGGUUUCCAAUUUUCUUUUCAAAAACACCCCCAG
rnacentral:lncRNA from 1 species